GAUGAGGAACGUAGCGAAAUGCGAUAAGUAAUGUGAAUUGCAGAAUUCAGUGAAUCAUCGAAUCUUUGAACGCACAUUGCGCCCCUUGGUAUUCCGAGGGGCAUGCCUGUUCGAGCGUCAUUAUAACCCCUCAAGCUCAGCUUGGUGUUGGGGCCUGCUGCACUGGCAGCCCUUAAAAUCAGUGGCGGCGCCAUCUGGCUCUAAGCGUAGUAAUUCUUCUCGCUAUGGAGUCCUGGUGGAUGCUUGCCAUCAACCCCCAAUUUUUCUAUGGUUGACCUCGGAUCAGGUAGGGAUACCCGCUGAACUUAAGCAUAUCAAUAAGCGGAGGA
rnacentral:misc_RNA from 1 species